UACGGGGGGGGCAAGCGUUGUUCGGAAUUACUGGGCGUAAAGGGCUGGUAGGCGGCCAACUAAGUCCGACGUGAAAUCCCAAGGCUUAACCUUGGAACUGCGUCGGAUACUGGAUGGCUUGAAUUCGGGAGAGGGAUGCGGAAUUCCAGGUGUAGCGGUGAAAUGCGUAGAUAUCAGGAGGAACACCGGUGGCGAAGGCGGGUCUCUGGGCCGUAACUGACGCUGAGGAGCGAAAGCGUGGGGAGCGAACAGG
rnacentral:rRNA from 1 species